UUCCGAUAUCUUUAUGUAGGUCUCCAGCAGAAGGUGUGGCUCAGAUUAAAGCCAACAAGAAGAAACCAUUGGGAAAAGUUAAUUCAUGGCCAUCCAUGGCAGCUUGAAAGACACUUCAAGAACUCAAGAAAGGUCGAAGGAGGUACAAGAAAAGGGAGGGUGGUGAAUUGGUUUCCUAAUCAAUGCUGCUCAGUCCUUCUUCAGGGCAUGACAAGUAGAAAAAGAAAAUCUUUGUAGGGUCUAUUUGAUGCUCACGGCCAGACAGGACCAGCUCUGGGCCUGGGUCCAGCCUACACUGCACCUUUGUUGCCACUGUGUCUUCGCUUGCCACACACUGCUCCAGAACAGGGCUUCCAGGUCUCAGGAAUGCUAGCACAGCUGCCUCCUGAAGGAUGCCAACAUCCUGAGCAAGACUGGAACACAGCAGGGCCAAAGUGUAGGAAAGCAUAGUGGACAGGCCAUUUGCAUCGUGUGUAGCAACCACCAAAAUAAAGAAAUAAAUAUUUAAAAAGGUCCAAAUGAGGACCAACUAGUACUGAA